rnacentral:misc_RNA from 1 species
GAUGAGAACGUAGCGAAAUGCGAUAAGUAAUGCGAAUUGCAGAAUUCAGUGAAUCAUCGAAUCUUUGAACGCACAUUGCGCCCGCCAGUAUUCUGGCGGGCAUGCCUGUCUGAGCGUCGUUUCGACCCUCGCGCCCGGCUUCUGUCGGGGGCGGUGUUGGGGAUCGGCCACACCCUUCAGUGGGAGGCCGGCCCCUAAAUUCAGUGGCGACCACGCUGUAGCCUCCCCUGCGUAGUACUAAAACCACCUCGCAGGCGGAGAGCGGUGCGGCCCGCCGUAAAACCCCCCAACUUUUACAAGGUCGACCUCAGAUCAGGUAGGAAUACCCGCUGAACUUAAGCAUAUCAAUAAGCGGAGGA